AUUGAACGCUGGCGGCAGGCCCAACACAUGCAAGUCGAACGGUAACAGGAAGAAGCUUGCUUCUUUGCUGACGAGUGGCGGACGGGUGAGUAAUGUCUGGGAAACUGCCUGAUGGAGGGGGAUAACUACUGGAAACGGUAGCUAAUACCGCAUAACGUCGCAAGACCAAAGAGGGGGACCUUCGGGCCUCUUGCCAUCGGAUGUGCCCAGAUGGGAUUAGCUAGUAGGUGGGGUAACGGCUCACCUAGGCGACGAUCCCUAGCUGGUCUGAGAGGAUGACCAGCCACACUGGAACUGAGACACGGUCCAGACUCCUACGGGAGGCAGCAGUGGGGAAUAUUGCACAAUGGGCGCAAGCCUGAUGCAGCCAUGCCGCGUGUUUGAAGAAGGCCUUCGGGUUGUAAAGUACUUUCAGCGGGGAGGAAGGGAGUAAAGUUAAUACCUUUGCUCAUUGACGUUACCCGCAGAAGAAGCACCGGCUAACUCCGUG
rnacentral:rRNA from 1 species